AUACGUAGGGGGCGAGCGUUGUCCGGAAUUAUUGGGCGUAAAGGGCGCGUAGGCGGAUUUUUAAGUCCGGUGUGAAAGAAUAGGGCUCAACCCUAGAAUGGCAUUGGAAACUGGAGAUCUUGAGGACAGGAGAGGAAAGUGGAAUUCCACGUGUAGCGGUGAAAUGCGUAGAGAUGUGGAGGAACACCAGUGGCGAAGGCGACUUUCUGGACUGUAACUGACGCUGAGGCGCGAAAGCGUGGGGAGCAAACAGGAUUAGAUACCCUGGUAGUCCACGCCGUAAACGAUGAGUGCUAGGUGUAGAGGGUAUCGACCCCCUCUGUGCCGGAGUUAACACAAUAAGCACUCCGCCUGGGGAGUACGGCCGCAAGGUUGA
rnacentral:rRNA from 1 species